AUGGGACGUCCGUCGUCCGGCGGGGGACAGCAGCCCAAGCUCCGGAAGGGGUUGUGGUCGCCCGAGAAAGACGAGAAGCUCUACAACCACAUCAUCCGGCACGGCGUCUGUUGCUGGAGCUCCGUCCCCAGGCUGGCCGGGGUGCACCGAUGCGGCAAGAGCUGCCGCCUCCGGUGGCUCAACUACCUCCGCCCCGUCCUAAGCGCGGCUGCUUGUCAAUCUCCAUGA
rnacentral:rRNA from 1 species